rnacentral:tRNA from 1 species
AGUUUGGUGCCUGAUGAAAAGGAUUACCUCGAUACGGUAAAUAAUGCAAUCCAUUUGCCCAGACUA